CGCCGCUAUUAACCUCAAGUUCAACUACAAAAUUCCUCAAAAUCUUAGCCUAAUUUAUCCAAAAUGGCCUUUAAAUGAAUGAACCAAACAACCAUUUGUAGAUUAACUUCUUCUGUUUCAAAGGGAGAUGGGAAAGCCAGAAAAGAACGGCAGUAGGAAAAAACAGUAAACAUGAGGAUAUUGACUCUAAGCCUUCGUAGGUUUUAGAGGCUUAACAGUCUCCCAGGUGAAAUCCGGGUCAUCACGGCCAAAAUGUCCAUAGGCAGCAGUCUUCUGAUACCUGAAGUUG
rnacentral:misc_RNA from 1 species